CACUUCCUACCAGCACCACUCCAAGGCAAGGGAGCCUCCUCCCAAGAGCUGUGGCCAAGUGGCUGAGGACACUCACAAGACCUCUGGCCAAACCGCCAAGCAUUUUCACAAGACCUCUGGCCAAGUGACUCAGGCUCAGCAGGAAUCUCACGUUAUGAGCACACACAGCUCUCUGAAGCCUCUUGUGCACACCAAGGAGGCCUUGGCCAGGAAGACUGUGGGUAUCAAAAGGCCCAGCAAGCCCCUGGUGCAUGAGAAAUGGAAAAAAGUCCUGAAACUGGAGAGUGAGCCUGGUCCUUUGGAGGUCAGAGACCAGUCUUGCAAGCACAAGCCCCGAGACAAGAAAACAGAGGAGCCAAAAUCCACCACCAAAAAAGCCCUGCAGCCGGCACUUCACAAGCCCUCUGAGGAGAGAAAGGACAAGGGCUCCCAGCAGGCCAAGGCCAAAGGCUUUUUGGAUGCCAGGCUCCUGAGACAUGCUCAGGAAUGUGAUGCCCUCAUCCCCAGUGACCACAGGCCUGGGGAAUGGCACAGGGAGAAAGUGCCCUUGCCUCCUGGGGAGAAGAAGUUGUUCUUGCCUUUGAGGAAGGCAGACUUGAAGAGGAAAGCCAUGAGGAGUCCUGAGGAGUCCCCUGGAAAGAAGAAGAAGGAAGACAAAGGGGACACUCCCAGGAAGAAAAAGGAAUGAGACAAAACAUUCCCAACCAAAUAAUUUUGGCUUUCAGCCAACAAAGGCUCCAAUCAACUGAAAGCCUCAGAAGACUCAUUCCAAACUGAGAGGGCAAAUGUGUUGCUGCCACCACUUCCAGCCAUGACUGCUGCACAACGUGAACCAAAGUUCACCAUGUCUAUGCAAAAGAGACCCAGAGCUGUGACUGACAACCUGGAGCUGCCUGCCAUGGAUAACUCUGCCAGGAAGCAGGAUGGAUUCUUAGCCAAGCACAGGAAAGUGGAGGAAGACCCCGAGGAGAAAACCCAGGCCUUCACCAUUGGUAUCCAGGAGGGCUGGUGGGAGUAUUCCUGCAACCCAGGCGUGCUGUGUGAUGCACUGCAGAAACAUCCUCUCAGAUAAGUGACCAUUUCUGACUGUAGGCAACUGCAACUAAAAGGAGUGUGUGUAUAAAAAGGAGUGUGUUUAUAAAAAGAAAAGGACUGCAAUCUGGGCCUUAGGUUGUAUAUCAUUCAGAGGGAAUUGCUGCAUUUAUGGGUUAAAAAAUUAGAAUUUACUUGCUUUUUAUAAAAAAUUUGGCAGUUUAAUGAUGGCUUGGGACAUGGGGUCUAUGAUAUUUGGGGGUGAGGGAGCAUGUGUCAGUGUUCUGUCUUAGGCCAGACUGUGCACAGUGCAUUAGCUGCCUUCUAACUGCUUGCUUUUUCCUGAUCAUUUUCCUGCUUCCAGCCCUCACUGCACUCCCAGCUAUUGAGCCAAGGAGACUUGCUGCUGAAUUUCUCUGUGCUUGGGUAAAGUUGAAUGGUGCAAAGUAUUGUGAGCUGCCAGGGAUCUGCAGGGCAUGAGAAGAAUCCUUUUCCAGUGCCUUCUGUGCCACAUGAAGCCAAGACAAGAAGACCUGAAGUUAGGACAAGCUUGCUGCUGAACAAAGCCCAGUGAGGGGACCAAGAGCCAGCCUGACCUCAUCCAUGGAAUGAGUCAGAAUUUACAGUGACCCAGACUGGAACCAAGUGCCUUAACUGGGUCUCCAGGAUGUAAAUAGUUCCAAGUUCUCUCUUCCAUGUAAACCUUACAAAUAGUUCUGUUUUAUUUAUUAUUUAGUGCAAAGUACCUGCUCUUUUUUUGUUUGUUUUAUUUUAAAUGCAGUUAUAAAUUAUUUUGGUUACUUUUGGAAAUCCUUGUGGUUUUUGAGGGUAAUGCUUUUCUAUCUUGCAAAAGAAGAGAUGGGCUGUGGUAUCCGCCAUUAAGAUAAAACUGUGGGGAGAAGGAUGGUGUAAUAUUCACUAUAAAAUAAUUGGUGGUUAAUGCAAUAAAAUUAAAAAACCCCACAGCAUUAUGUGUACUAAAACCAGUGGCCAAAAAGGCAGUGGUCAGACUAAAUGAUAGAGAUUCAAACAGGAAGGCAGCUGUCCCCAGAAAUGUACAUUCCAGGGGAUUUCUCUCCUCUGACAGGAGGCAUUUUGGUAAGCAUCACCAGCAACCACAAACUAAGUGAUAGAGAUUCAAAUAGCAGGGAGACACUGUCUCCAGAGAUAUAUAUUCCAGUGUAUAUUCCAAGGGAUUUUUCCUUUGACCAGAUUCCAGCAGGAGGCAUAUUGAUAAGCAUCAUCAGAAGUUUUCCCCAGAAAGUUUUUUACCUGACAGGAUUCCAGGAAUUAUCCACCAGUUCCAGAAAACGUGAUAAUAUGCUAAAGAAGAAACCCUUCCAGGGCACAAAGAACUGUAUAAAAGGGACCCUCUGAGAAAUGCUCUUUGGAAACCCAUGGGGACUUUGGUGCAAAAGGGCCAAAUCCUAAAUCUCCCCAACUCUGAUCACCCGGCUCAGAGUCAAUUUUAGCUUCUGGUUUAUUCCAAAUGUAUAAUUUGAUAACUUCAUAAAUUUAAUUAAUAAUUGAGUUGGAGUAGUCAUUUAUAAUAGUAGUGUCAUGGUUUGACCCUGGCACAGUGCCAGGGCCCCCAUGAAAGGGUGUAUUUCCAAAAUGGUUGCUGUGAGAUGUGGUCCGGGAACAGAACAAAGCAGGCUCCCAUUGGGGGAUGGAGGGAAAAACCACAACACUUUAUUCAUUACAAUAUCUAAA